rnacentral:rRNA from 1 species
GACGAACGCUGGCGGCGUGCUUAACACAUGCAAGUCGAACGGUGACGAGGAGCUUGCUCCUCUGAUCAGUGGCGAACGGGUGAGUAACACGUGGGCAACCUGCCCCUGACUUCGGGAUAACGCUUCGAAAGAGGUGCUAAUACCGGAUAUGAGUCCUCCGGCAUCUGAGGGACUGGAAAGUUUUCGGUUCAGGGAUGGGCCCGCGGCCUAUCAGCUUGUUGGUGAGGUAACGGCUCACCAAGGCGACGACGGGUAGCCGGCCUGAGAGGGCGACCGGCCACACUGGGACUGAGACACGGCCCAGACUCCUACGGGAGGCAGCAGUGGGGAAUAUUGCGCAAUGGGCGAAAGCCUGACGCAGCAACGCCGCGUGAGGGAUGACGGCCUUCGGUUGU